rnacentral:pre_miRNA from 1 species
AAUAAACCAAUCUUUCACUUUUUAGCUACAAUGUUUGAUGCUUCAUCUUAUUUAAAAAAAAUUUACGGUUAAUAUUUUUAUUUUUAUUAGAUGAUAAAUCAUAAAUAGUACUUUACUUGUGACUAUUUUUUUUCAAUUUCUUGAAAAACUUUCAAAUAAGACGAAUGUUCAAACAUUUGACACAGAUAGUCA